rnacentral:lncRNA from 1 species
CAAACCCAACGAUGAGAACUUUCAACCGCUGGGCUUCCACGUCGUGCCCAGAGUCAAACAAGGACAGUGUCUUAGGACAGCGGAGCUAUCGUCAAGGCGCAGAGCUCUGUGGCUGAGCAGAAUUCGUCGCAAAGACCUGGACGAAUUGGCGACGCAUUACCGAGUUUGUGGGGCGCAUUUAAUCACAGGACGACCAGCUUAUUUGAUGGAUGAGGCGAAUCCCGACUGGGCGCCGAGCCUCAAUCUCGGCUACAAGUCCACGACGCACGCUGGAAGAAGCGCAAGCGACAGGUACAUGCGACUCAAGCAACGGAGGCGUGCGAGUUCUGCAGCCAACGCCUUUGAAUUAAGGCAGCGACCGGAGA